CAGCCAUGCCGCGUGAGUGAUGAAGGCCUUAGGGUCGUAAAGCUUGCCUGUGAAGAUAAUGACGGUAGCAGGUAAAGAAACCCCGGCUAACUCCGUGCCAGCAGCCGCGGUAAUACGGAGGGGGUUAGCGUUGUUCGGAAUUACUGGGCGUAAAGCGCACGUAGGCGGACUGGAAAGUUGGGGGUGAAAUCCCGGGGCUCAACCCCGGAACUGCCUCCAAAACUAUCAGUCUAGAGUUCGAGAGAGGUGAGUGGAAUUCCGAGUGUAGAGGUGAAAUUCGUAGAUAUUCGGAGGAACACCAGUGGCGAAGGCGGCUCACUGGCUCGAUACUGACGCUGAGGUGCGAAAGUGUGGGGAGCAAACAGGAUUAGAUACCCUGGUAGUCCACACCGUAAACGAUGA
rnacentral:rRNA from 2 species